CUCAAAAAUCCCAAAUUGAGGGAAUCAAAUCCCUAAUCGGAAAUCAGCCGUCCGUUCUCUCUACUCAGCGUCGGCCGGUCACUACUCCGGUCGGCGUCUACCUCAAGCCGUCGGAAGACCGUUCCUCCUUCUCAUUCUCCCUCUCUCUCUUUCUCUCUGCUGCAUCGCAGCGGUGUAGCUCCACCGCCAGCCGCCAGCUCUGGAGCGACGACGAGCCGGCGUCACCUCCGUCACACAGCCAGCGCUGCUGUCUCGACACCCCUUCGCCGUUUACUGCUGCUGCGCCGGGACUAGCCCGUCGAGCAGUUCGAGCUCACGGAGCUUCUUUCCGUCGUCGUUCAGAGUCUCCGAUGGCUCCUUCCUAAGCUAAGUCUUCCUAUCUUAGCUAUUUAGGUGGUUUCUUUAGGCAAAGUCUGUUCUUAUUUCAUAGUUUUAGAUUUAGGCAGAUUGUAGCUGCUCUUCGAAGAAAUCGGCAGAUUGGACAAUCUGGACUUUUGGCUUACAGAUUUGAACUUAUUUCUUACUGAUUGUGAGGGGUUAACAUUACUUUAAGGAAUUUGUGUACACGUAGUGGUUUCUAUGUUUUGAGUGUUGAGCACUACUUAGCUACUAAGUUUGAGACAGAAGGAGCAGCAUGUUGUUUCUCUUGUUUCUUUAUGAAGUAAAGCUCUAAACAUGUUUGUGCUUGGUUUUUCUACUGAUUUACUUGGAAAGAAAAUGCUAUUUGAGGUUUCUAAGUUGUGGUGCCUCUAUAUGAUGAUAUGAUGAAUUAUAUGGGAGAAAGAUGGAGGUGUACUACCUCUUGCAGUGGCUAUUGAUUCCUUUUUCCUCUGCUCCUAGAACUCACAGCUUGCCCACUUGCUCUCUGGUUCCUUUUUGACAAGUUAUGGGAUAGGGUGAGCUUGAGUUUUAACAUAAAGUACUUGUGAGAAGGGAGGAAUGGUGUUACCUAUGGAGAGUAGGAACUCCCUUUGAUGCAAGAACUCUAUGCAGAAGCCUUACUCUCUCACUAACUCACUACUCUCUUUCUCUAUUGCUGGUUGGAAAGUUGUGUAAAGGGGUGAGGUCAAGGGGAGGCAUAUAUAUAUAGGAGUCUUGAAAAUGUGAAAUCUGCAGGAUAGAUAAUAUGCAGGAGUGUAUCUGCUAUUUUGAGCUAUGUGUUGGCUUCUCUUUCAUAAUCUACUUGAACCUCUAUUGUUCAUAUUGUGUAUGGGGUCUUGUCUCAAUUAUGGCUGAUUGGCAGCUUGUGUGAGGUUGUACAUAUGGUGUAUCGUUAAAGGUGAAUGGGCUGAGCUCAUCCUUUGUUUUCUUAUUGCAGCAAAAUCCUUUUUGCUGAUUCUUCACCACCUUUUAUUUAAAUAAGCUUGGUGUUUUGCCUGUUCAUAAGUACUCUUGCUUCUAUGUGUCUCUUUUGAUUAUGGCAGGUUCCUUCCUAUGGAGUGUAUGUAGUGGCUGCCAAGGAUUAUGCACAGGAGCUGGUCUGCCAUUUUUUUUUUCACAAGGAGGAAAGUCCUCAUUAAUAAAGAUAACCUAGGAGAGAGAGACGGCUGCCUUGGUUGGGUGGGAGAUGUGGGAAGAUUCCAAGGGCUGACUUCCAUUUUAGGAUAUACAUAUCUGCUCCACUUAGUCAAAUAGGCUACUUCCCUCAUACAGGUACCUACCAUGAUAUAAAUUGGGCCAACAGGAGAGGCCCAACUUUCACAUAUUUAUGUACACUAACAUUUGUAAAUCAUGGAUACUUAAUACGUAUAAAAACAAUUCUUAUUAAAGCCAUAGUCAACACUUGUAUUCUCUUAUGUUAGUGUAUUUUAUUUAAUACGAAGAAAUAAACACGAAUUCAUUUUAGUUCA